UACAGGGGGGGCAAGCGUUGUUCGGAAUUACUGGGCGUAAAGGGGCUGUAGGCGGCCAAGUAAGUCCGACGUGAAAUCCCAACGCUUAACUUUGGAACUGCGUCGGAUACUGGAUGGCUUGAAUUCGGGAGAGGGAUGCAGAAUUCCAGGUGUAGCGGUGAAAUGCGCAGAUAUCAGGAGGAACACCGGUGGCGAAGGCGGGUCUCUGGGCAGUAACUGACGCUGAGGAGCGAAAGCGUGGGGAGCGAACAGG
rnacentral:rRNA from 1 species